CUUCCACAGCAAUUGCUUGGUGAGCCACGGCCAAAAUCACCAGGACUCCGAGGAACAUUUUCCCGCUCUUAGUGUUUUCCCGCACCAACAAAGUUUUCAAAGCGUUUUGUUUACACAGGUCGUUGGACGAAAUCUGUUUUCUAAUCAACAGCGUAGGUCACAACUGUUUUACUCCGGACAGACGUCUCCGAGUUAUAAACCC